CCAAAUCCUGUUCCCAGACCGCGGUCACUCAGCUUAGCUUCAAACUACCUCUCUCACUUGCUUUGAGACCAGCAGUUACUGUUCCAAGGGGGCAGCGGAGAGUGUCUGAGUCACAAAGGAACUCUGGGCUUGAAAUUCAACGAGCAAGAGCCACCUGAAAUUACUGCAAGUGGCCACAAGAGGGCGCUACUUGACACCACUUCAGAGAAAUCGCAUUCAAGCAAAGAUUGGUAGCUGGCCUGUACUGAGAGGCUCGGUUAUUUCUCAGGAAGCCGUGGGUUCCAUCCCCAGCACCAGCAUGAUAGUUCCAGCGCGG